rnacentral:lncRNA from 1 species
AAAACAGAAAAAGCUUCCAAUUUUAAUUGCUUCUCUUUUCAAAGGUUCAAGAAUUUUUUUAUCUGUUUCCUCCAUCUCUUUAGAUCCCCUAUCUCUCCAAUUUGCAUGACAGAUUACUCAUCUAUUAGACCGGCAAGCUGUGCAAUUGUUCUUUCUCGACCUCCUCUUCUGCAAAAAUAGGUACUCCUCUGCUCGUAUUCCACUGUUCCUUUCGUCUCAAACUCUCCAUCGCAAGUAGAUGAGCCACUCCAUUUUUUGAUCGUUCCCCGCAUUUGAACUUGCAUAUUUGAAAACUCUUGCUAUGCCCUUGAUAGUCUUUUAUGUAGGCAUGGAUUUCCAAUUUGUCAGUAUCCCUCCGUUGUGCUUUUUUGAUGACAAACAAGGCAUCACCUUUUAUCUCCAUGGUAGUGAAAUCCAAAUUUAGUCUUAUUUAAAAGUUGUAUGUAUUGCUUUAUCAUGUAUGGUAAGUAAAUUAAAGGUAAGUAUUGUUAAAUUUGAAAUGUAUUAACUGUUAUACGAAAAUUUGAAAGUGAAAACCCUAUUAACAGUGUCGAGCUAGUCAGAUAUAGUUGGCAUGCCAUAGGAUUGGAAGUGUUCAGGGAUAUUCCGAAUUUGUGUCGAUGAGGCACUAUAAGUUUCAAUUACUGUUACUCUUCCAGAUUCGUUCCGAUGAGGUAUUCUGUGUACCGCUAUUGCUACUGCUACUGUUACUUUUACUGUUACGGUGUAUUCUGGCUUUGGCCGAUGAAACACUGUAUACUAUCCCGGUGUGUGGGUUGGAUCCGUGUAUCCGUCCAAGUUCGAGUUAUGUUAAUAGGGGUAAAUUACUGCACUGAAGAUUGAAUGAUAAUGACUGAACUGAAUAUCUUACUGGUUUCGAUUCUAAUGAUAAAUGUUACGGGCAUGUGAGACACACGGGUUGUACACGGGCAUGUUGAUAGACCGUGUGUCCCUUACAUCCUUAAAUAUAUAGUCAGGAUAGAACACGGGCAAAAGACACGGCUGUGUGUCUUGGUCGUGUGAGGGACACGGGUUUCAAGUAUGGUCGUGUGUCAAAAUCGUGUGAAAUGGCUUAAAAAUGGUGAAAAAUCAGUUUACCACACGGCCUAGCCACAUGGGCGUGUGUCCAGGCCGUGUGCCCCUUUAAUGCUUAAGAAACUGCAAGUCAGAAUUGCCCACGGGCUGGCUACACAGCCAUGGGAGCCACACGGGCAUGUGCCCCUAACUUUCAAGAAUUUUUUUUUUAAAGUUUCCAAAGUUACCGGUUUAGUUCCAAAGCAUUUCUAAAGCAUGUAAUGGACCCCGUAGGCCCAUAUUAGGGACUUUAUGGUGAAAUUUCAAAAGUUUUGAUUUGGAAAGCAAAUUUAUGACUUGGUUUUGUAUAAAUGCUAGUGUAUAAGUUAGGUAAUGCCUCAUAACCCUAUUCCAGUGACGGAUACUGUAACACCCCCAACCCUUAUCCAUUGCUGGAAUAAGGUACGAGGCAUUACCGGAGUUUACUAAACAUUUUCAGAUAAUUUUGAGUCAUUUAUUAUUCAUAUUUUGAAAAUAACCACAACGUUUCUCUAUUGGGCCCUCGAAGCCCCAAACAUACAUUAAAAACCAACCGAAAUUAAAUCGGGAUCAUAAAAAAUUUUUGCAAAAUCUUAAAUUAUAUUUUCAUCUAAGUACUUACCAUUUCAAUGCUCCUUAUAAUUAAACAUGUUACCAUUC